rnacentral:rRNA from 1 species
CCUACGGGGGGCUGCAGUGGGGGAUAUUGGACAAUGGGGGGAACCCUGAUCCAGCGACGCCGCGUGAGUGAAGAAGUAUUUCGGUAUGUAAAGCUCUGUCAGCAGGGAAGAAAGAAAUGACGGUACCUGACUAAGAAGCCCCGGCUAACUACGUGCCAGCAGCCGCGGAAAUACGUAGGGGGCAAGCGUUAUCCGGAAUGACUGGGGGUAAAGGGAGCGUAGACGGUUAAGUAAGUCUGGAGUGAAAGGCCGGGGCCCAACCCCGGGACUGCUCUGGAAACUAUUGAACUUGAGUGCAGGAGAGGUAAGCGGAAUUCCUAGUGUAGCGGUGAAAUGCGUAGAGAUUAGGAGGAACACCAGUGGCGAAGGCGGCUUACUGGACUGUAACUGACGUUGAGGCUCGAAAGCGUGGGGAGCAAACAGGAUUAGAUACCCGGGUAGUC